rnacentral:rRNA from 1 species
UACGUAGGGUGCAAGCGUUGUCCGGAAUUAUUGGGCGUAAAGAGCGUGUAGGCGGUCCGGUUAGUCCGCUGUGAAAGUCCAGGGCUCAACCCUGGAAUGCCGGUGGAUACUGUCGGGCUAGAGUCCGGAAGGGGCGAGUGGAAUUCCUGGUGUAGCGGUGAAAUGCGCAGAUAUCAGGAGGAACACCAAUGGCGAAGGCGGCAUCCUGGACCGACAUUGACGCUGAGGAGCGAAAGCUAGGGGAGCAAACGGG